AGGAAUGUAGCUUAGUGGUAGAGUGCUUGCCUAGUAUGCAUGAAGCCCUGGGUUCCAUUCCUC
rnacentral:tRNA from 1 species